rnacentral:rRNA from 1 species
CCUACGGGUGGCUGCAGUGGGGAAUAUUGGACAAUGGGGGCAACCCUGAUCCAGCCAUGCCGCGUGUGUGAAGAAGGCCCUCGGGUUGUAAAGCACUUUCAGUGAGGAAGAAGGCCUGGUGGUUAAUACCCAUCAGGAAAGACAUCACUCACAGAAGAAGCACCGGCUAACUCCGUGCCAGCAGCCGCGGUAAUACGGAGGGUGCGAGCGUUAAUCGGAAUUACUGGGCGUAAAGCGCGCGUAGGUGGCUUGAUAAGCCGGUUGUGAAAGCCCCGGGCUCAACCUGGGAACGGCAUCCGGAACUGUCAAGCUAGAGUGCAGGAGAGGAAGGUAGAAUUCCCGGUGUAGCGGUGAAAUGCGUAGAGAUCGGGAGGAAUACCAGUGGCGAAGGCGGCCUUCUGGACUGACACUGACACUGAGGUGCGAAAGCGUGGGUAGCAAACAGGAUUAGAUACCCUUGUAGUC